AUGAUUAUUUAUUCUUAUAUUUUAGAGUAUAUGCAAGACGGUGCAGAAGAGUUGCAGAUUUAUUGUGGGUGUUCCAUGAGGCAAACAUGAAGUUAAUUGAAUGCCAAGUUUAAUUAUUAUAUUUUUACACCCUCUACCACACUAUAGAUAGAUGCCAUAGGGACAUAAACUCCAAAAUGAAGUUAAUUGAAUGCCAAGUUUAAUUAUUAUAUUUUUACACCCUCUACCACACUAUAGAUAGAUGCUAGUUAAUUUUUUUUUAUCUUGAUAUGGUACGAAGAUCAUAAUUAACAAGUGAUAAUGAUGAAAAAAAAAUGUUUUUUACACCCUCCACGUUUAUAAAUAGAUGACUCAAUGGGAAUUUUAGUUUAUUCACAAGCUAAGUAUAAUAAACCUCUAGGUGAAGAUUGUAGCAAGUGGUAAUGAUGAACAAGACACACUUUGGAUUUUUCUUCAUUUUGCUUACUCUCCUUGCUUCGGAGAUGGUGCUACAAACCGAGGGAUGGGGCUGUACUGAUCUCAAUUGUCAUUGGACCUGUCGUGCUCAAGAUUAUCAUGUUGGUGUAUGCACCGGAUUUGUCAUUAAAAGUUGCAAGUGUUUGGGUCAGAAAGUGCUCGAAUAGAUAUCCUCUCCAUUUUUCAUAAGAAAUGGAGGUCUCAAUUACUAUAGUUUUAACGCAUAAAUGUCUGAUGAUGUUAUAAUUAUUAAAAUGUCUGCAUAACUUUUAUUUAUUAAUUCCAAAACUAGGGAAGAUGUCAACUUUUAUUAUAGAGAUGAAGAUUAUAUUUC